GAGAGUUUCUCCAUAGCAAGGAGAAGGCAGAGUAAACUGGGCUUGUCUGUCUGUAUUUAAGCCAUGGGGAGUUAUGUGGGGGAUGAUGACUUUUCAGUGGACUCUAGGCUGAUAUUUCCAUAAAUGCGUUUCCAACCUGUCUGAAGAAUUCGCUCAACAGCCCAUGGUUAAACUACAGACCUGAGAAGUACAGAUAUUCAGAAGUAUUUGGCUGCUCGUUUGGGGAUGCAGAGAUGCAGGCGCUAAAGAGAGACGUGAAGUGCUGGUGGAUAAUUCUGCAUGGCUGAUGAAAAUGUGUGGCCAAAGUAUCUCAGGCUUAUAUGGAGAGGUGACUAAGGAGGAAUGGCCAGCCAACCUCAAACCUCAGAUAGCUGCAAAAAACCACCAGCCCUGGAGCGUAUCAUCCUCCCAACAGACACUGUGUUUCUGCUGUAGGAGUACAGUGAACACACGGGUGCUGCAACCUGGAAAUCCAUCAGCAGUGAGGCUGUCUGAUUUGCCCCAGAGUUACCAAACUGGAAAUCUCAUCAGCAGGAAGACGGUCUGCAGUCACCGUGGGGACUUGUGGCAAGGUGUUGGUGUGUCUGAGAAGGUGACUUUACUGGAAACACUGAACAGACAGAAGUAGAAACUAGUCAUGUCAGAGACCACUCGGCAGCUGGAUGGGAUUCCUUGCGUGAUUCAUCCACAAAAAUGACUGCUUUGCCUGACGUCGUAUUUCCCCCCCUUUAUUUAGAAUGCAGCUUUGGCUGCCGUGGCUGUGGUCCAUUGUCUGGAUUGCUUUUUGAUGGCUGGGUGGUACGGAUAGCAUCCUUGUAUUCUCAUGAUUUCUAAACCACUGCUCGGACCAGGGGGGAAAAAGACAACCAAAUGAAGGGCUUCGUCACUCCAGAAGCCCUCAGUGGAAUGAACCUGUAAUCUUAGGAAAUCAAAGGGGAAUCUGGGGAAUGUGUCAUUUUUAGUGUCUUUAAGGCAGCAAAAUUACAAGCGAAAAUAGCUGCCUGUAAAUUGUGUUUAUGGAGUUAAUUGACAGGAAUAGUAGAGAAGGGAAAGUCUGGAUGAAAGCCUCUGGGUCUGAACUGCUCUGUUUCAGGAGGAGGUCUAAAGGAAGGACUGUCACCCGAUGCAACCAAAAUGUACCGGGAUGCAUGGAUCAGUUACUGUGCCUCAGCAGAGGAAUUCAUAGUGAUGCUGCCCUGUGGCAAUGCUGUGACCACCCAUUCUUGUGAAACUCACUCAAAUGUUUGCAGGAUUACUGAGCUGCACAAACCAGCAGUGG
ensembl:lncRNA